CAAAAGCUUGGUCCUGCCUUUACUGUCAAUUUUAGCCCAACUUACACAUGCAAGUCUCCGCGCCCCGGUGAGAACGCCCUUAAUCCCCCUCCACGAGGAUAAGGAGCCGGCAUCAGGCACACAACCUUGUAGCCCAAGACGCCACGCUACGCCACACCCCCAAGGGCCCUCAGCAGUGAUAAACAUUAAGCAAUAAGUGAAAACUUGACUCAGUCAGAGCUAACUGGGCCGGUAAACUUCGUGCCAGCCACCGCGGUUAUACGGAGGACCCUAAUUGACAAACACGGCGUAAAGAGUGGUUACGGCACACCCCCACUAAAGCCAAACGCUUCCAAAACUGUUAUACGCACUCGGAAGUCCGAAACCCAAACGAAAGUAGCUUUAACACCAUGCCUGACCCCACGAAAGCUGAGAAACAAACUGGGAUUAGAUACCCCACUAUGCUCAGCCGUAAACCUAGAUGCUCCCUUCUACCAACAGCAUCCGCCAGGGAACUACGAGCGCUAGCUUAAAACCCAAAGGACUUGGCGGUAUCUCACAUCCACCUAGAGGAGCCUGUUCUAGAACUGAUAAUCCUCGUUAAACCUCACCAUCUUUUGUUCUUCCAGCCUAUAUACCGCCGUCGUCAGCUUACCCUCUGAAGGACAAAUAGUAAGCAUAAUUGGUACCACCCAAAACGUCAGGUCGAGGUGUAGCUAAUAAGAUGGGAAGAAAUGGGCUACAUUUUCUUAUUAAGAAAACACGAACAGCACAAUGAAACACGUGCUAGAAGGCGGAUUUAGCAGUAAAAAGAAAACAGAGUGUUCUUUUGAACCCGGCCCUGAGAUGCGCACACACCGCCCGUCACUCUCCCCAAAAAACUCAACACCAUAAAUAAACACAACAAAACAACAAGGGGAGGCAAGUCGUAACAUGGUAAGUGUACCGGAAGGUGCACUUGGAUCAAC
rnacentral:ncRNA from 1 species